UCAGUUAAUUCGAAUAUGUGAACUUUUACUCAUGCUCAUGUCAUUCCAAACCUGUUUGACAUUCUUUCUUACGUGGGACACCAAAGGAAAUGUUUAGUAGAAAGUCCGAGCUGCUCUUUUCCAUGCACUGAGAAGUGAAUGGUGACCAAGAGCUGUCAAGCUCUGAAACAGACAAAAACACAAUGUAAAGCACCCUAAAAAUAAUUAGUAAAAAAGUUUGAUGUAGAAACAGCUUUCACUCAGAAAUUGCUUGUAAAUUUCACUAAUAAUUACAAAGAAACGGCAUUGAAUUAAAAAUGUAAAUUUUAAGUAGAAAUAGUAUUUUCUUAUAAAACAUACCCCAAUAAUCUUUGAUUUAUUUAUAACGUUGAUUUUUUACAGUUAUGACUCUUUCUGAAGUAUUUUUUGUGAGUAGAUGAUGAUGUAGUUUUCCAUUAAUGUUAUUUAGUGUUUCAGUUCAGGCAAAACUACAAAAGGCUAGUGAAAGCUUGAUGGUUGAAGAUCUGACCUGCUUACUCAAAGGUUGUAGGUUCAAAACCCGCAAGGUGCGAUGGAUGAACCAAGAGUUAUGGCGAUCACCUUUAGCCACUGUGUCCUUGAGCAAAAUGCGUAACCCUUACUUUAUUCUGGGGAUUUUUUCCUGUUCUAAGCAUGCUGGUAGUUCCUCUAGAUAAGAAGGUGUCUGCCUAAUGACAAAUGGACUUUUAAGUACAUUAGGUCCCUAUGUCAAGCCUGGUGGAAAUCUCUUCAGAUGUGUUGAGGAAGAGCUGUCACCGUUCAGUCCCUCCAGCACAUCCACCAUGCACGACAGCAUUUUCUUGGUGUCUUUUCCUGCCAGUCGAGAGGAUGGAAUUGGUUUCGGCACCUGCAACUCAUAUACAGUAUCUAUGAGAAAAGACACUGUAUUUUGGUUCUGGAGGUUUAUUUAAUCAAAUUUUAAAGUUCAUAAAGUUUUUUUUUUUUUAAUUAAUACUUUUUUUCUCUACAUAAUUGUACAGUAUGUAAUUUAUUUGUAGUAUCAGAUGAGUACUUUUAAGUGAGUAAAACAUUCUAAACAAAUAAUAGAAAAUGUCUUAUUCAGAUGUCAUACUUAUAAACUUCAGUAGGCUAAGUGACUGCUAAAACUUUGCCAUCCUAAAACAGGGUUAAUAUAAUUCAACUUAAGUAAAAAUAUAAACCUUAAAGUUAUUUUUUAUUAUUAUUUGCAAUUAAAUGGUAUUUAAAAAAAAAAAAAAAAAUUUAAGUUAUAUUGCCUGUGCAACAUUUUUAAUUUUCAUUGAAUUUGAUAUUAUUUACUAAAAUAACUAAAACCAAAAAAUAUUCAUUAAAAAUAUAUAGACAUAUUUAAAAAGACAAAAACACAGAUUUCUAAAAAGAAUUCUAAAACUUUAACUAAAAUGAAAAUGCAGAUAGAAAAUACAAAAAUACAAAUUCACUUAAAUGCAAACAUUAAAAAAAAAAUGUUUUACUGUACCUCAAUGAUACUAAAAUAAAAAGAUCCAAAAACAUUCUUUUUUUAUUUAGCUAAAUGGCACAUUUUCAUCUCCCCCAUUUCUAUUCAUGAAUUGUCAGAUGAAGUUUAAAUUAAGAAAUAAAGUCACACAGAAAGAUGAAAUGUAUAUUUAUGUUAUAAAGGUUUAUUAUUGCACAUAUAAGUAGAAAUAUGUCAUUUCUAUACCAAUAGAGGCACCAAAUGGAAUUGGAAAAUUAAUGAUAAGUUUCUCUGUAUAAUGUAGUUGGGUUCAGAUCUUGAGGUUUUCAUCUUUGCAUAAUAUAUCCAUUACUAUGCACCAGAGGGCUCUUCGGUAUGAGUCUGCUUGUUCAAUUUGUGAUGUGGUAAUGAGAUCAUGAACUCCUUCUAUUCGUAUUCUUCAUGAAUCUGAAAUAUUUCAACAUUUCAACAUUACAGUCUCACUCUGUAAAGUGUUUUCAAAUCAUGAAAAUCUUCAAAUUUGACCAUCAUCUCUGUUCUGCAGUGCUUGACAACAGUCCAGAGUGAAUUCCCUUUUUAUAUCCAUUGGCCUAUGGCUUCCCCUCCUUUCUGUGCUCACACUAAUCAGGGAUCGGUUUGAUUGAAGGGCGUGGUCGUUCUGUUUUUGACACGAUGAAAACAGUCUAAACACUUCAUUGUGACUAAACAGAAGAGAGAUUUUUUCCAAGAGAUGAUAUUGACGUCAAAAACAGUCACUUCAGUAAAAGGUUGUAAGUAACAAAUUAUUAUUAUUAUUAUUAUUAUUAUUAUUAUAGAGCAAGUGAUAUGGAUUGAGGAAGGCAGUGUUGAUGUUUAAACAGCUGUAUAAUUUGGCGCAGUAGGUUUUUCUUUGUUAGACUGGAGAAAGCUAUAGGCUACUGAAUAAAGGUUGUAGGUGUGGCAAAUCUGAGUAUGGUGAAUGUUUUAUUUUGAAUGUAAUGCUUUCUCUGGUUUAAUCAUGUCGAAGUCAAGUUCAGCGUCCCAGUGACAAUUUUUGUUCCUUUAUAACACUAGUUAACAUAUUGUCACACAUUAGUACAUUUUACAUCUUAAAUCUAAAUUCAUUCUUGCACUUUUCUUUGUUAAUGUGAAUUUGUAUAACUGAAUGUUAGUGCAUUUCG
ensembl:lncRNA